UGUUAAAAAUUUCAUCUAUUUCUAUUGUUAAAAAUUGACAUGAUUGACGACAUAUCUAACAAAUUACACGUGGCACGAGGACCAACUUUUAAUAGUAGAAAUGAAUAGAAUUUUAACA
rfam:Gossypium hirsutum cultivar TM-1 unplaced genomic scaffold scaffold290.1, whole genome shotgun sequence